GUGCCAGCAGCCGCGGUAAUACGGAGGUCCCAAGCGUUGUUCGGAUUCACUGGGCGUAAAGCGUGCGUAGGCGGAGAGAUAAGUUUGGCGUGAAAGCCCCGGGCCCAACCCGGAAAUUGCGCUGAAAACUAUCUCCCUAGAGGAUUGGAGAGGAGACUGGAAUUCCUGGUGUAGCAGUGAAAUGCGUAGAUAUCAGGAGGAACACCGGUGGCGAAGGCGAGUCUCUGGACAAUUCCUGACGCUGAGGUACGAAGGCUAGGGUAGCGAAAAGGAUUAGAUACCCUUGUAGUCCUAGCAGUAAACGGUGUGCACUUGCUGUAGGCGGAUUCGACCCCGUCUGUGGCGAAGCUAACGCGUUAAGUGCACCGCCUGGGGAGUACGGUCGCAAGAUUAAAACUCAAAUAAAUUGACGG
rnacentral:rRNA from 1 species